rnacentral:lncRNA from 1 species
UGUACAAGACACUUAAAUGCACUACUACAUAAAAGCAAGUACAUGAUGGAAUGUUUAUAGCAAGCGGUAUUACUUGAUUGGCGCCUAGCUUUGGUGAAGGCGACAGGUCGGAAUGGCCAUAAGGUGCGUAGCCCUUGCAACAACGAGCCCGAAUUCCUCAGUCAUGUCAAGUUCUGAUGGCUGCAUUCCGUUUGGAAGUUCCCAAUCAAAACAAUGCAACAAUUGAGCUACCACUAGACGCACCNACUCGAACCGAACACGAGCUUAACGAACCGAACACGAACCGAUCAUUUUAAAAGUUCGGUUCGGUUCGUUAAGCUUAUCGGACGGAAAGUGCUGUUCGAACUCGUGUUCGGUAAGCUUGCCGGACGAGCUUACCGAACUCGAACACGAACCGAACCGAACGAACUUACCGAACAGUUCGGUUCGUUUACAGCUUUAAUCACAUCAUUCACCUAAUAUCAUAAACUAAAUUUGUAUACAGGGACCUCUCCCUCUUGUGCUCUAGUAGGAAUGCUGUCGCUCUCUGUGACUAUUUUUAGGCACUUGAAACAAUAUAAACUAAAUUUAAGAAUCUGAUGGUGAGUAUAAAACUAAACUACUUGCUAUGAAUGAUUGAGGCAAAGUAAUAAAACAAAAGGAAGCAUUUCUCUCAAUGCAUAUUCAUCUCAGUACAUAGAGGUUUUUCUGGGUUACGAUACCUGUGUACAAGACACUUAAAUGCACUACUACAUAAAAGCAAGUACAUGAUGGAAUGUUUAUAGCAAGCGGUAUUACUUGAUUGGCGCCUAGCUUUGGUGAAGGCGACAGGUCGGAAUGGCCAUAAGGUGCGUAGCCCUUGCAACAACGAGCCCGAAUUCCUCAGUCAUGUCAAGUUCUGAUGGCUGCAUUCCGUUUGGAAGUUCCCAAUCAAAACAAUGCAACAAUUGAGCUACCACUAGACGCACCACAGUGAGACCCAAUUGUAUUCCAGGAC